rnacentral:ncRNA from 1 species
AUACUCUGGAGAAUCCCAUUAAAUUGGGUGCCGAAGGUGCAAGGCGAAGCGUUCGCUGAAUCUCUCAGGCAAAAAGACAGUGAUG